rnacentral:rRNA from 1 species
AUGGUAGGAUAGAGGCCUACCAUGGUGGUAACGGGUAACGGGGUGUUAGGGCACGACACCGGAGAGGGAGCCUGAGAAACGGCUACCACAUCCAAGGAAGGCAGCAGGCGCGCAAAUUACCCAAUCCCGACACGGGGAGGUAGUGACAAUAAAUAACAAUACAGGGUUCUUUGAAUCUUGUAAUUGGAAUGAGUACAAUUUAAAUCUCUUAACGAGGAACAAUUGGAGGGCAAGUCUGGUGCCAGCAGCCGCGGUAAUUCCAGCUCCAAUAGCGUAUAUUAAAGUUGUUGCAGUUAAAAAGCUCGUAGUUGAAUUUCGGGAUCAAUACGUCGGUCGUGCUUUCGGGUACGUACUGGCGUCAUUGGUUUCUCCUUUCUGACGAACCAUGAUGUCAUUGAUUUGGUGUUAUGGGGAGUUAGGACUGUUACUUUGAAAAAAUUAGAGUGUUUAAAGCAGGCAUUAGCUUGAAUACAUUAGCAUGGAAUAAUGAAAUAGGACGUUCGAUCCUAUUUUGUUGGUUUCUAGGAUCAACGUAAUGAUUAAUAGGGAUAGUUGGGGGCAUUAGUAUUCAAUUGUCAGAGGUGAAAUUCUUGGAUUUAUUGAAGACUAACUACUGCGAAAGCAUUUGCCAAGGAUGUUUUCAUUAAUCAAGAACGAAAGUUAGGGGAUCGAAGACGAUCAGAUACCGUCGUAGUCUUAACCAUAAACUAUGCCGACUAGGGAUCGGAUGAUGUUAAUUUUUUAAUGACUCAUUCGGCACCUUACGGGAAACCAAAGUGUUUGGG